CGAACGGGUGAGUAAUGCGUGACCAACCUGCCCCAUGCUCCAGAAUAGCUCUUGGAAACGGGUGGUAAUGCUGGAUGCUCCAACUUGACGCAUGUCUUGUUGGGAAAGUGUUUAGUGGCAUGGGAUGGGGUCGCGUCCUAUCAGCUUGUAGGCGGGGUAAUGGCCCACCUAGGCGUCGACGGGUAGCCGGCCUGAGAGGGCGGACGGCCACAUUGGGACUGAGAUACGGCCCAGACUCCUACGGGAGGCAGCAGGC
rnacentral:rRNA from 1 species